rnacentral:tRNA from 1 species
AAGGGUGUAGCUCAAUGGUAAAGCCUGUGCUAGCAAAUGUCAGGUCCUGGGUUUAAUCCCCAGUGCCCUCC